UGUAUCAACGGCACCACGAGGGUUAGACUGUCUCCUUUUUCAAAUCAGUGAAAUUAAUCUCCCCGUGAAGAAGCGGGGAUACUCAUAUAAGACGAGAAGACCCCAUGGAGCUUCAAACCCAACUACACCCCUAGCUCUUAUAGCCCCACAACCCCCCUAGGCACCGUGUGCUUGGUUUUAGGUUGGGGCGACCGCGGAGUACAAUAAAACCUCCACAAUGAAUGGGAACACCCCCUUAUCUGAGGGCCACACCCCCUAAGAAUUAGAACACUAACAUAAAAUGAUCCAUUACUUGAUCAAUGAACCAAGUUACCCUGGGGAUAACAGCGCAAUCCAUUUCAAGAGCCCCUAUCGACAAAUGGGUUUACGACCUCGAUGUUGGAUCAGGGUACCCCAGUGGUGCAGCAGCUACUAACGGUUCGUUUGUUCAACGAUUAAAACCCU
rnacentral:rRNA from 1 species